rnacentral:rRNA from 1 species
CACGAAGUUAGUUGAGCUACGUAAAUAUAAAUAUUAGAUUAUAAAGUAUAUGGCAUAAUAUAAGUAAAUAUUUACUUAGGGGUGAUAGGCUUAUCAAAUCUAACUAUAUCUUGAUACUUUAGAAAAACAUUUAGUGUUAAUACAAUUAAGUAGUGAUAAGGCUACUUAUAAUUAUAAACUAUUAUUAAUAAUAAAAUCUUGAUUUAACUUUCUAGAUAAUUUUAGAAUAGCAUUUAUUUAUAUAUUUUAUAUAAACUAUAAGGUCUCAUAAAAUAACCAACAAUGUUAAUAAUGUAAUUAUUAGUAAAUAAGUUAUUGAAAAUGAACUCGGCAAUAUGUUUUUCAACUGUUUACCAAAAACAUAGCUACGUGUAGAUAUUCGUAGUAAUUUCUGCUCAAUGAAUAUUAAAUAGCCGCAGUACCUUGACUGUGCAAAGGUAGCGUAAUAAUUUGACUUUUAAAUGAAGUCCUGUAUGAAUGAAUACUUGAAGAGCAACUAUAUCUUUAAUAUUUUAUGAAAUUACCUUGUAAGUGCAAAACCUUACACAAAAAUGAUAGACGAGAAGACCCUAGAAAUUUUUAUAAUAAUGUAAAGUUUUUUUUUGUUGGGGCAACAAAGUAACAUUUAAUUUACUUUUACAACAAGAACAUUUUUGUGAAAGAAUAAAUUACUCUAGGGAUAACAGCGUAAUUAGUUUAAGGUUGCGACCUCGAUGUUGGACUAGGAAACUAUUGCUUAGAA